rnacentral:siRNA from 1 species
CUACAGUCCGACGAUC